rnacentral:rRNA from 1 species
ACACAUGCAAGUCGAACGCUGAAGCCCCAGCUUGCUGGGGUGGAUGAGUGGCGAACGGGUGAGUAACACGUGAGUAACCUGCCCAUCACUCUGGGAUAAGCACUGGAAACGGUGUCUAAUACUGGAUAUGCACAAUGGCCGCAUGGUCUGUUGUGGGAAAGAUUUAUCGGUGGUGGAUGGACUCGCGGCCUAUCAGCUUGUUGGUGAGGUAAUGGCUCACCAAGGCGACGACGGGUAGCCGGCCUGAGAGGGUGACCGGCCACACUGGGACUGAGACACGGCCCAGACUCCUACGGGAGGCAGCAGUGGGGAAUAUUGCACAAUGGGCGCAAGCCUGAUGCAGCAACGCCGCGUGAGGGAUGACGGCCUUCGGGUUGUAAACCUCUUUUAGUAGGGAAGAAGCGCAAGUGACGGUACCUGCAGAAAAAGCACCGGCUAACUACGUGCCAGCAGCCGCGGUAAUACGUAGGGUGCAAGCGUUGUCCGGAAUUAUUGGGCGUAAAGAGCUCGUAGGCGGCUUGUCGCGUCUGCUGUGAAAACCCGAGGCUCAACCUCGGGCUUGCAGUGGGUACGGGCAGGCUAGAGUGCGGUAGGGGAGAUUGGAAUUCCUGGUGUAGCGGUGGAAUGCGCAGAUAUCAGGAGGAACACCGAUGGCGAAGGCAGAUCUCUGGGCCGCUACUGACGCUGAGGAGCGAAAGCAUGGGGAGCGAACAGGAUUAGAUACCCUGGUAGUCCAUGCCGUAAAC